rnacentral:rRNA from 1 species
CCCUUAGAUGUUCUGGGCAGCACGCGCGCUACAAUGGUCUUCGCAAACGGAUGCAUUCUCGAAGGAGAAUGCCAAUCUUGGAAUCUAUGCCUUGGUCGGGACAGUUGCUUGCAAUUUUUCGACUCGAACCAGGAAUUCCUUGUAAUCGUGAUUCAUCACAUCACGAUCAAUACGUCCCUGCCCUUUGUACACACCGCCCGUCGCUCCUACCGAUCGAAGAGUUAGGUGAAUUGUUUUGAUCGAUAAGAUUUGACUAUGGUCAACUCUCGUUGUGAAAUUCUGUGAAUCUGACUGUUUAGAGGAAGGAAAAGUCGUAACA